rnacentral:lncRNA from 1 species
UGCUUUCAUAAUUAAUUCAUCAAAUGUUGAGAUGUGAUACCAUGGCACACACGAGGAGAGCUAACCUGUCACUGUUUACCUUAUACCUGGACCCACCACCAGAUUAAGACCACUAAACAAAGGUAAUAAAUUAUGUUAAAAAUCGGAGUGCCCAAAGAUAAACCCCUAGGACCAAAAUCCAUAGGAGCCCUCCUUGAUGAAGAAUUCAUGCUUGGACCUCUGGCGAGCCUACUAGCUUGUGCUUGCCGUUCUUGAGCAGCAUCUCUGUGCACUUCCUCGAUCUUUUUCGGCCCUUCAACUUUCCUCGUCUGCUGCCAUUUAUUCUUUCUCAACUCAAUUGAAUCCUUCAACAUAACCCUAACCCUAGAAGAUAGUUUCAUGUUGUUUGACAACUUUUCCAUUCUGUCAAAAUAAGCAUACAUAUGCUCUUUGGCCUUGGGGUGAUCGAUCAUCUCUCCUAUUGUGCUCAUUAAUAUACACAACGCCUCAACAUCCUCCUCGUCAGGAUUCUCAUACUGGCCCAGCAACUUCUUGAUGCAUUCAUGCAUUAUUCUCUCAGUCAACAUUUUCUUCUUGUACAACUCACCAAUUAGUCUAAUGUUGCCUAGCCAUCGUCUUCGAGCCUUGAUUCUCUUCUCUUCUCUUUCUUCCUCGGUCUGCUUAAUCUCCCCCUUUUUAUCAGCUUUGUUAGCUUCUUCUUGCUCUCUCUCUCCUCUCUCAAAUUCCUCUUGGCAUUUGUUCAGAAGCAGUCUCUUGAAAGUAAUUUUUUCAUUGUCUUCACUGAAAUCAGGUAACUUUCCAGCAAGAAAAUAAAAGAAGUUUGCAUACAUCUCACAGAAAGUAGGCUCCAUUAAAGCUUUGUCAAAAAUUUGAGAGACCACACGAGUGAGUGUAACAGCAUUGUCGAUGUUUACUGCUUUUACUUGCUCAAAGAGUUUCUUGAAGUUUGGAGCAUUUAGUCUUCCUAUGUCACCACGACAUUCAAUAUGCAAUUUUAAGUUUCUCAUCCUCUUGCUAAGCCGUCUUUUCCCUCUGUUAUCUGAUCUGAUUUCCUGAUAAUAAAAAGCACAGGCAAAUCACACAGUUUAUCCACUAACCCACUAACAGUAAAUGUUUUAUCACUAAAGAAUUCCAAUCAAAUCAUGCAAAUGUAAGUGUCGCUAAUAUAAUGAUUAGUUCAUGGAAGUGUAUAAUCGCUACUACAAAAGAGAGAUAACCUUAUCACGUGAAUUUCGAUGUUUCUUGUCAUUCCUCUCAUGAUUAUCAUUCUUGAGUUCAGAUUCAUCGUCAGGCAAUAAAGAAUCCACGAGGUCUUCGCCAAAAUCAUCCACAGCAUCGCCACCUUGACUAUAACCAGGGCCAUUCUCCCUCCUCUUAUCGCGCCCCAAAUGCCUUUCUCGUGGCAUUUGGGUAGUAGGGGAAGAUAAGCCCCUAGGACCAAAAUCCAUAGGAGCCCUCCUUGAUGAAGAAUUCAUGCUUGGACCUCUGGCGAGCCUACUAGCUUGUGCUUGCCGUUCUUGAGCAGCAUCUCUGUGCACUUCCUCGAUCUUUUUCGGCCCUUCAACUUUCCUCGUCUGCUGCCAUUUAUUCUUUCUCAACUCAAUUGAAUCCUUCAACAUAAGCCUAACCCUAGAAGAUAGUUUCAUGUUGUUUGACAACUUUUCCAUUCUGUCAAAAUAAGCAUCCAUAUGCUCUUUGGCCUUGGGGUGAUCGAUCAUCUCUCCUAUUGUGCUCAUUAAUAUACACAACGCCUCAACAUCCUCCUCGUCAGGAUUCUCAUACUGGCCCAGCAACUUCUUGAUGCAUUCAUGCAUUAUUCUCUCAGUCAACAUUUUCUUCUUGUACAACUCACCAAUUAGUCUAAUGUUGCCUAGCAUUCGUCUUCGAGCCUUGAUUCUCUUCUCUUCUCUUUCUUCCUCGGUCUGCUUAAUCUCCCCCUCUUUAUCAGCUUUGUUAGCUUCUUCUUGCUCUCUCUCUCCUCUCUCAAAUUCCUCUUGGCAUUUGUUCAGAAGCAGUCUCUUGAAAGUAAUUUUUUCAUUGUCUUCACUGAAAUCAGGUAACUUUCCAGCAAGAAAAUAAAAGAAGUUUGCAUACAUCUCACAGAAAGUAGGCUCCAUUAAAGCUUUGUCAAAAAUUUGAGAGACCACACGAGUGAGUGUAACAGCAUUGUCGAUGUUUACUGCUUUUACUUGCUCAAAGAGUUUCUUGAAGUUUGGAGCAUUUAGUCUUCCUAUGUCACCACGACAUUCAAUAUGCAAUUUUAAGUUUCUCAUCCUCUUGCUAAGCCGUCUUUUCCCUCUGUUAUCUGAUCUGAUUUCCUGAUAAUAAAAAGCACAGGCAAAUCACACAGUUUAUCCACUAACCCACUAACAGUAAAUGUUUUAUCACUAAAGAAUUCCAAUCAAAUCAUGUAAAUGUAAGUGUCGCUAAUAUAAUGAUUAGUUCAUGGAAGUGUAUAAUCGCUACUACAAAAGAGAGAUAACCUUAUCACGUGAAUUUCGAUGUUUCUUGUCAUUCCUCUCAUGAUUAUCAUUCUUGAGUUCAGAUUCAUCGUCAGGCAAUAAAGAAUCCACGAGGUCUUCGCCAAAAUCAUCCACAUCAUCGCCACCUUGAUUAUAACCAGGGCCAUUCUCCCUCCUCUUAUCGCGCCCCAAAUGCCUUUCUCGUGGCAUUUGGGUAGUAGGGGAAGAUAAGCCCCUAGGACCAAAAUCCAUAGGAGCCCUCCUUGAUGAAGAAUUCAUGCUUGGACCUCUGGCGAGCCUACUAGCUUGUGCUUGCCGUUCUUGAGCAGCAUCUCUGUGCACUUCCUCGAUCUUUUUCGGCCCUUCAACUUUCCUCGUCUGCUGCCAUUUAUUCUUUCUCAACUCAAUUGAAUCCUUCAACAUAAGCCUAACCCUAGAAGAUAGUUUCAUGUUGUUUGACAACUUUUCCAUUCUGUCAAAAUAAGCAUCCAUAUGCUCUUUGGCCUUGGGGUGAUCGAUCAUCUCUCCUAUUGUGCUCAUUAAUAUACACAACGCCUCAACAUCCUCCUCGUCAGGAUUCUCAUACUGGCCCAGCAACUUCUUGAUGCAUUCAUGCAUUAUUCUCUCAGUCAACAUUUUCUUCUUGUACAACUCACCAAUUAGUCUAAUGUUGCCUAGCCAUCGUCUUCGAGCCUUGAUUCUCUUCUCUUCUCUUUCUUCCUCGGUCUGCUUAAUCUCCCCCUCUUUAUCAGCUUUGUUAGCUUCUUCUUGCUCUCUCUCUCCUCUCUCAAAUUCCUCUUGGCAUUUGUUCAGAAGCAGUCUCUUGAAAGUAAUUUUUUCAUUGUCUUCACUGAAAUCAGGUAACUUUCCAGCAAGAAAAUAAAAGAAGUUUGCAUACAUCUCACAGAAAGUAGGCUCCAUUAAAGCUUUGUCAAAAAUUUGAGAGAUCACACCAGCGAGUGUAACAGCAUUGUCGAUGUUUACUGCUUUUACUUGCUCAAAGAAUUUCUUGAAGUUUGGAGCAUUUAGUCUUCCUAUGUCACCACGACAUUCAAUAUGCCAUUUUAAGUUUCUCAUCCUCUUGCUAAGCCGUCUUUUCCCUCUGUUAUCUGAUCUGAUUUCCUGAUAAUAAAAAGCACAGGCAAAUCACACAGUUUAUCCACUAACCCACUAACAGUAAAUGUUUUAUCACUAAAGAAUUCCAAUCAAAUCAUGCAAAUGUAAGUGUCGCUAAUAUAAUGAUUAGUUCAUGGAAGUGUAUAAUCACUACUACAGAAGAGAGAUAACCUUAUCACGUGAAUUUCGAUGUUUCUUGUCAUUCCUCUCAUGAUUAUCAUUCUUGAGUUCAGAUUCAUCGUCAGGCAAUAAAGAAUCCACGAGGUCUUCGCCAAAAUCAUCCACAUCAUCGCCACCUUGAUUAUAACCAGGGCCAUUCUCCCUCCUCUUAUCGCGCCCCAAAUGCCUUUCUCGUGGCAUUUGGGUAGUAGGGGAAGAUAAGCCCCUAGGACCAAAAUCCAUAGGAGCCCUCCUUGAUGAAGAAUUCAUGCUUGGACCUCUGGCGAGCCUACUAGCUUGUGCUUGCCGUUCUUGAGCAGCAUCUCUGUGCACUUCCUCGAUCUUUUUCGGCCCUUCAACUUUCCUCGUCUGCUGCCAUUUAUUCUUUCUCAACUCAAUUGAAUCCUUCAACAUAAGCCUAACCCUAGAAGAUAGUUUCAUGUUGUUUGACAACUUUUCCAUUCUGUCAAAAUAAGCAUCCAUAUGCUCUUUGGCCUUGGGGUGAUCGAUCAUCUCUCCUAUUGUGCUCAUUAAUAUACACAACGCCUCAACAUCCUCCUCGUCAGGAUUCUCAUACUGGCCCAGCAACUUCUUGAUGCAUUCAUGCAUUAUUCUCUCAGUCAACAUUUUCUUCUUGUACAACUCACCAAUUAGUCUAAUGUUGCCUAGCCAUCGUCUUCGAGCCUUGAUUCUCUUCUCUUCUCUUUCUUCCUCGGUCUGCUUAAUCUCCCCCUCUUUAUCAGCUUUGUUAGCUUCUUCUUGCUCUCUCUCUCCUCUCUCAAAUUCCUCUUGGCAUUUGUUCAGAAGCAGUCUCUUGAAAGUAAUUUUUUCAUUGUCUUCACUGAAAUCAGGUAACUUUCCAGCAAGAAAAUAAAAGAAGUUUGCAUACAUCUCACAGAAAGUAGGCUCCAUUAAAGCUUUGUCAAAAAUUUGAGAGAUCACACCAGCGAGUGUAACAGCAUUGUCGAUGUUUACUGCUUUUACUUGCUCAAAGAAUUUCUUGAAGUUUGGAGCAUUUAGUCUUCCUAUGUCACCACGACAUUCAAUAUGCCAUUUUAAGUUUCUCAUCCUCUUGCUAAGCCGUCUUUUCCCUCUGUUAUCUGAUCUGAUUUCCUGAUAAUAAAAAGCACAGGCAAAUCACACAGUUUAUCCACUAACCCACUAACAGUAAAUGUUUUAUCACUAAAGAAUUCCAAUCAAAUCAUGCAAAUGUAAGUGUCGCUAAUAUAAUGAUUAGUUCAUGGAAGUGUAUAAUCACUACUACAGAAGAGAGAUAACCUUAUCACGUGAAUUUCGAUGUUUCUUGUCAUUCCUCUCAUGAUUAUCAUUCUUGAGUUCAGAUUCAUCGUCAGGCAAUAAAGAAUCCACGAGGUCUUCGCCAAAAUCAUCCACAUCAUCGCCACCUUGACUAUAACCAGGGCCAUUCUCCCUCCUCUUAUCGCGCCCCAAAUGCCUUUCUCGACCUUCUCUACGCAAAUCCAACAAAGACUCUUCAAUGUCUAAGGCUGAUACUGAAUGAAGAUUAAUUCCAGAAGGAGGACCAGGAUGAUCAAGCUGUCUAGUGAGCCCUACACCAUUACCACCUUCAACAGCAGAACUAGUAAAUCUGUUAGUCAUAUCAACAUUAUGCUCAAAUCCCCUUCUGCUAUUACCACUGCCAGCAACUCUUGCCUUGUUCGAAAAGCCAGGAGGCGGUGUUGAGCCAUAAUGCUGUUUGCCAAGUCUCAAAUCAUGUUCUCGAGAAUUCUCCAGAUUCCUGUGCUGAAAUGAAUUCGGAUUCGAAAUAGAACUUGCUCGGGGUUGGUCAAAUUGACUGUUCCUAUCCAAAUUGUAUUUCAAAUUAUCUAAAGGAUUCAAAUUCAAUAAGCUGUCGGGUUGGACCUGGAAAGAACCAAACCGCAGAUUCUGCUGCUGCUGCUGUUGGUGAUUCGGUUGCUGAAUAAGAUUAUGAAUUGCAGCAUAAUUGGCGUUAGAAAACCCUAGUCUCCCCAAAUCCUCGCACAAGAGUCGUUUCUGAUUUUCAGUAGAAGGAGAAGCCCAAGGGUUUUGAGGAAACCCUAGGAAAUUGAGAAGGAGAGGAGUGCGGGGCCAGGUCGGAGGAAGAUCACCGCCGUUGGAUGGCCACUGUGGCGGGAAAUUUAUGGUGGGGCCUACAGCCGCAACAGCAGGAUCGUUGGGCAGGGAUGGUUGUUGCGGUGGAGUUUGAUGUGGAGGAGCUUGGGGAUGCUGCUGGGGCUUUUGGAGGAGAGAUAGAAGAAAUUCGCCGCCGUUACAGGCUGGCGUAAGCGGCGAUUCACCGCCGCCGCCGGUCAUAGCAGUGAGGUUGUUUUUUACACUUACACUGAAGCGAGUAAACGGAGAAGAAGAAGAAGAAGAAGAAGAAGAAUGACGCGAGAAAGCUUUCUGAGUCUGACUGUGAUUUGUUGGUAUUUCUUUUAGUUUUACGGAAUUAUUGUUACUCUAUUAAUUAAAUAAUUUACUUCAUCGGCAAGUAUUAGAUUUUUCGCUACUCGCAUCUGAUCUGAGAGUGGGUCCCGGUUAUUAGAUCAGCGGAAGAUUCGUAGACCACGCUACAACGACUUGUCGUCCGUCUGUGUACUAUUUGUCAUAUGUUUGUGGAUUUAUGAUUCUAUUCUAUUUCUCUCUUACUUAUUCAUCAAUAAUAAUAAUUAUAAAGAAAAAAAAAUCAAUAAACGCUUGAAGCCUGCCUGUUGAAUAACUGCCGAAGAAUCGCAAUGCCAAAUCCAAGUGGAAGGCAUGAUCAACACACUAAGUAUUAUACAUGUAAGCAAGUCUAAUGACAAAUUUGACAACUUUCCAUUAACAAUAUGAUAAAAUUGAGUCCACCAAAUCAACAACAGUAUUGUUUAUGCAUCAAAUUAAGUCCGUUAUUUAUGUGUUGGUAAGUAUGAUUCCAAGACAGCUACAUUUGUAUUGCGUACUCCAGGCAUUACUGAUUAACACACACAUACACAUCAAUUGGAUGUAUAUAUUACACAAAACACAUGAUUUGCUUAGCCUUGAGAAAGGAUAUUAACAUUUCCUAAAGAUUACAUAACUCAAGUUACUCAACCUCAAUCUUAGUUUUGCUUAUCAGGAUGCAACAGAAUCUGAAACCGCGUUAUUUUCCAGGUCUCUAAGUGUUUCUUACAUUGACGUAGGCUUAAUUACUGCUUGGCCCCUGAUUUCAUUCCUUCAUUCUCGUAAAUUCAUUUCUUUCCGGUCUUACUUUUGCUUUCAUAAUUAAUUCAUCAAAUGUUGAGAUGUGAUACCAUGGCACACACGAGAAGAGCUAACCUGUCACUGUUUACCUUAUACCUGGACCCACCACCAGAUUAAGACCACUAAACAAAGGUAAUAAAUUAUGUUAAAAAUCGGAGUGCCCAAAGCCGCAUGGACAAACACUUUGAUGCUCAAUUGAACUCUUUUCCAUAAUUGCAGUUGCAGUAAAAAUCUGCUGAUGAAAUAAUAUUAGUAGAAGGAAAACCCCAUUACUGCCAUGUAGCCGCCCCCAUCCCACCCAUCAAGAAAAAUAUAUUUUAGCAUAAAAAUAAUAAUAACGAGUACCCUAAAGGCACUAGGGAUCAAUUUCUUCUAUCGAGAUACAAAUGAGCAUCACCUAUCCCCUCUAAAUAAAUUUUUCUAGUAUUCUUGAUCUGUUAGGCUCUGGAGGCCUGAAAUCCUCCAAUCUCAAAUUCGAGCUCAUUCGAACCUCA